rnacentral:misc_RNA from 1 species
GAUGAAGAACGUAGCGAAAUGCGAUAAGUAAUGUGAAUUGCAGAAUUCAGUGAAUCAUCGAAUCUUUGAACGCACAUUGCGCCCGCUAGUAUUCUGGCGGGCAUGCCUGUCCGAGCGUCAUUUCAACCCUCAAGCCCCAGGGCUUGGUGUUGGGGAUCGGCGAGCCUCCGCGCCCGCCGUCCCCUAAAUCUAGUGGCGGUCUCGCUGUAGCUUCCUCUGCGUAGUAGCACACCUCGCACUGGGAAACAGCGCGGCCACGCCGUUAAACCCCCAACUUCUGAACGUUUGACCUCGGAUCAGGUAGGAAUACCCGCUGAACUUAAGCAUAUCAAUAAGCGGAGGA